GCCACUUUCGUCCCUGCAGCGCUGUGCGAGCUAUCGUGGUCGUGAUAGAGUUGCGUUUCGGGCGUCUCGAGAAAGGCGUUGUGCCUACUGAGCAUUUUUUGAAAAAAAUCGACGCAACGCGGUAGUCAUGGUGCGAACGAAGGCGGAUGGUGCCAGCCGAGCCGUUGGUGCGAAGGCAUUCAGGAAAGCAUGAGCAGUCCCGGAGGUGCCUCCAGUUCAAGCUCGCCAAGUUCUCGAAAGCCAAAAGGAGCAUGGCAAGACGACGUACGACACGAAAGAGAGCAAUACCACAUAAAUACGGAGGUGGCAACUCCUACUGCCCCCGACAACCCCACCCUGGCAGAAAGAAAUUUCUGGGUUCCUCGUAAAGGCAAGCACACCCGAAGAGGAGAAUCAACCGCAGACAUCAGAGACUGCAUCUAGUUCCGACGCAUCCGACAGCGGUGCGUGUGGCAGCUCGUCUUCCUAAGUUGCUGGCUGCUGCAGUUUUGUUUUUACUUACCUAUUGACAUCCUGCGAGUCAUUUUACCACAAGUGCUGUAUAUAUAUAUGCUUUGCAAUCCAUUGUGAAUAAAGAGAACACUUAAGGCAUCUGCAA
rnacentral:lncRNA from 1 species